rnacentral:rRNA from 1 species
UACGAAGGGUGCAAGCGUUACUCGGAAUUACUGGGCGUAAAGCGUGCGUAGGUGGUGAGUUAAGUCUGUCGUGAAAGCCCCGGGCUCAACCUGGGAAUGGCGAUGGAUACUGGCUCGCUAGAGUGCGGUAGAGGAGAGUGGAAUUCCCGGUGUAGCAGUGAAAUGCGUAGAUAUCAAGAGGAACACCUGCGGCGAAGGCGGGUUGCUGGGCUGACACUGACGCUGAGGCGCGAAAGCGUGGGGAGCAAACAGG